rnacentral:rRNA from 1 species
AGGGGAGUGAAAAAGAACCUGAAACCGUGUACGUACAAGCAGUGGGAGCCUCUUAAUGGGGUGACUGCGUACCUUUUGUAUAAUGGGUCAGCGACUUAUAUUCUGUAGCAAGGUUAACCGAAUAGGGGAGCCGAAGGGAAACCGAGUCUUAACUGGGCGUUAAGUUGCAGGGUAUAGACCCGAAACCCGGUGAUCUAGCCAUGGGCAGGUUGAAGGUUGGGUAACACUAACUGGAGGACCGAACCGACUAAUGUUGAAAAAUUAGCGGAUGACUUGUGGCUGGGGGUGAAAGGCCAAUCAAACCGGGAGAUAGCUGGUUCUCCCCGAAAGCUAUUUAGGUAGCGCCUCGUGAAUUCAUCUCCGGGGGUAGAGCACUGUUUCGGCAAGGGGGUCAUCCCGACUUACCAACCCGAUGCAAACUGCGAAUACCGGAGAAUGUUAUCACGGGAGACACACGGCGGGUGCUAACGUCCGUCGUGAAGAGGGAAACAACCCAGACCGCCAGCUAAGGUCCCAAAGUCAUGGUUAAGUGGGAAACGAUGUGGGAAGGCCCAGACAGCCAGGAUGUUGGCUUAGAAGCAGCCAUCAUUUAAAGAAAGCGUAAUAGCUCACUGGUCGAGUCGGCCUGCGCGGAAGAUGUAACGGGGCUAAACCAUG